CCAGCAUGCCAGGUGACAGGCCAGACGAGGGGGAGAGGAGGCGGGGCUCGUCCUCACCCCAGGCUUCCUGAGAAGUGCUGAUUGGAAGAUCGGACGCUACUACGGGCAGAUGAACAGUGCAGAGCACCGCAGAGACUCUGCCCGAACCCUCCGAGACCCCGUCAGCCGUCCCUUGAAACGCCCUUCCUGAACGGCUCCGCCUACGUUGCCGGCGUCCUGAACGGGCUCCGCCUACGUUGCGAACGCUGCAGUCCUUUGGUGGAGAAUGCCUGGGAUGGCGGUGACGAGGACAUGGUGCCGAGUGGAUGCUUGCCGUGGACUAGGCUCCGUCUACUUGGCUGGCUUCCUUAACGGCUCAUCCUACGUGGCCGGCCACCGGAAUGGCUCCACCUACGUGGCCGCACCCCCCCGUAACGGCUCCUCCUACUUGGCGUGCCCCCUGAAUGCCUCCUCCCAGGUCAUCGACCCACUGAACGGCUCCGUCGCCGUGUGAGGAUCGAUCCAGUGGACGGGUGGAGCUGCUCCAAGCUGCUGGGACACCCCUACUUCAGAGCAGAUCGUCUCCAUGAGAGCUUCAGCAAGGAGCUCAAGGAGAUGAUCGACCAGGAUCAGUCCAUGGUCGAUGAGCACCUAGGGAGUCACGAAACGGGCAUUCUGCCGGACUUGUCCUCAGCUACCCCAGUACGACCAGCGUUCUCCUGCGAUGGAGAACGCUGAGGAAGGCGAUGACGAGGACAUGGUUAUGGGUGGAUGCUUCCCGCGGACUAGGCUCCGCCUACUCUGCUGUCCCCCUGAACAGCACCGCCUACCUGGCCGGCCUCCUGAACGGCUCCUCCUACUGCCUCUACCUCCUGAACGGCUCCUCCUACUUCCUCUACCUCCUGAACGGCUCCUCCUACUUCCUCUACCUCCUGAACGGCCCCUUCCACUUCCUCUACCUCCUGAACGGCUCCUCCUAGGUGGCUGGCCUAGAAAACGGCUACUCCUACGUCGUCAGCCUCCAGAACGGCUCCGCCUACUUGGCCAGCCCCCUGAAUGGCUCCGCCCAUAUGGCCGGCCUCUAGAACGGCUCCUCCUCUGUUCUCUUCCUCCUGAUAGGCCCCGCCUACCUCCUGAACGGCUCCGCCUCCAUCCUCUACCUCCUGAACGGCUCCGCCUCCGUCCUCUACCUCCUGAUAGGCUCCGCCUCCAUCCUCUAACUCCUGAACGGCUCCGCCUCCGUCCUCUACCUCCGUAAGACUCCGCCUCCGUCCUCUACCUGGUUUAUGGCUCCAGAGGUCCUGGUCAAGGAUCCCAGCUACAGCACGUACCUCCUGAACGGCUCCGCCUCCGUCCUCUACCUCCUGAACGGCUCCGCCUCCGUCCACUACCUCCUGAUAGGCUCCUCCUCAGUCCUCUACCUCCUGAUAGGCUCCGCCUCCGUCCUCUACCUCCUGAACGGCUCCGCCUCCGUCCUCUACCUCCUGAUAGGCUCCUCCUCCGUCC
ensembl:lncRNA